rnacentral:rRNA from 1 species
AGCAGUCGCCGCGGUAAUACGGAGGGGGCUAGCGUUGUUCGGAAUUACUGGGCGUAAAGCGUGCGUAGGCGGUUCGUUAAGUCUGUUGUGAAAGCCCCGGGCUCAACCUGGGAAUGGCAAUGGAUACUGGCGAGCUAGAGUGUGUCAGAGGAUGGUGGAAUUCCCGGUGUAGCGGUGAAAUGCGUAGAGAUCGGGAGGAACAUCAGUGGCGAAGGCGGCCAUCUGGGACAAUACUGACGCUGAGGCACGAAAGCGUGGGGAGCAAACAGGAUUAGAUACCCCUGUAGUCCCUGUCUCUUAUAC